ACCCCGCGAUUGCUCAACGCCGCUCUUGGAAGGUGUUCAAGUGGGAUGAGAAGUGCCAUGUAAGCCUAUAAUGAGCAGAAAAAGGAAUUUAUCCCAAAUGUAAACUCCGUCCUACCCUUUGCCUCCACGGAGCAAACACGGCCGGGGGAGUGUGGAGAUUACAAAACGCUCUGCAGGAGACCGACUGCUCUAACCCUCACCCCUCGGAAAACAAGGAAAGCAGAGCCGACAACGAGAGCUUUGCUUUUGGAAAAGCCACUGGGGUUCCUUUUGUCAGGGGGCAGAAAGAGCAGGGCAGAAACUGCCCGGCACCGAGAGGAAUCCCGGAUAUUCGGGGCUUUCUACCUACCCAGCUCCUAGAAACACACAGCAAAGCCACUUCGCAGGGAAAAACCUGCUCUUUGUCCUCCAAAAUGCUGCGAUCGCUGGAGAGGCCGGCAAGGAACCGAACAAAAAGGGGGAAAAAAAAAGAAAAAAGAAAAAAGGAAAAGAGGGGGGGAGGGGAAAAGGAAACAGAGCAGCAGCCGAUCGGGUCGGGCCUCGGCCCCUCUUUCCAGGGUAUCCCUAAGAAAGGUUUUCCCCCCUCGCUGAACAGCUGGAAUUCCCGACCCUCCUCCCGGUGCGAUUAAGCAUCGAUCGCAAUUGGCGGAGUCUGACAUGUGUGUAACUUUAAACCCCCGGAUAAAAAUAGCUCCGAUUCGAGCACCAUCAGGACUCAUUUCCUAUUUGCUUCAAAACAGGGCGAAAAAUACACCGAGAGCAGCUUUGUGGGGAGAAAGGCGCUGCGAGAACGUCAGACAAGUUUCCUUCGAUAAGCCACAAACAGGAGCGCUGCUGCUGCUCCUCCCUCUCCCCCCCCUCCCCUUUCCAAAAAAACACCACCAAAUCCAGAUAAGUUUGUUUAUCUCUCUCUGGGAACUAAAUCAGACCCGUUUCUCGACCCCUGAGAGCAGCAGGGCAGAGUCACCAGCCCUGAGUCCUGCUGAGGGAGGUCGGGCACGUUCAGGAGACAGAUCCGAGAAACAUUUCAUCCACUCUUGUCAUUGCUACCCUUUCCCGGCUCGCACCGCCACCUUGUAAACAAAAACUAUUAAUAAAACAAUCCCAGAACCGAA